UGGCGCUGCGCUCUGACAUACUAACCCAGCCCCUACUAACCCUGUUUUCUUACUAACCCCAGCCCUGCCGAGCUCUGGGC
rfam:Oryctolagus cuniculus cont2.64802, whole genome shotgun sequence.